AACACCUGGAGAUGAAGACAAGGAAAAUGUCAGUUUCUACAUUAAGUAACAAACUAGAAAGAAAACAUAACUUUUUUUCUCCUUCACAAAAACAUACCAAAUGGGAACUGCGCAACCAUCUUUGGAGAUGUGAGAGGCUCUGAAAUGCCAAAUCGGUUUUCAGCACGGACCCGGAAGAUGUACUCCUGGCCUGGGAUGAGCUUUCCAACCCUGCAGGAAGUUUUUGUGACUGAAGCUAGAGCCGUGACCCAGUCACCUCGGCUUACAUCACACUUCUCCACUAUAUAAUUGGUGAUGUUACUGCCUCCGUCCUCCAGAGGGAUGUGCCAUGACAGGGAGCAAGCAUCAGCGUCUAUAUCAGAAAUGUCAAAUGGAGGCUGAGGGGGGCCGGGGGCAUCUGCAUGAACCAAGAGGAAAGAAAUAGAAUAGACACCUUGAUGGCUCCUCUGGCAGUUCUUGAUGACCAUGGAUGAGCUAAUGGCUGUGGUCUCAAUGGUGGCUUCUUGAGUUACAUCUUUGAGAGGGGUGAGGAAUUUGAGCCGGAUUCCUAUCAAGAAAAAAAGAAAGAA
rnacentral:antisense_RNA from 1 species